GGGUCGAAAGAGAGAAAGAGCUGGACACGAGAGGUGUUAAGUUGCAAAGACAGAAACCACAGGACUUGACAAGGAGUCGAGGAAGACUGGGAAGAUAGACGUUAUGCUUUCGAUAUUAAUGGGAACGUUAGGAAGAGGGGAGGGGUGGGCGUGGGAGGUUUGCUGAAAUUGAGAAGUCCGCGGGACACCCAGUUUCAGAGGUCUAGAAGGCAGCUGGAGGUCGGGACUGGAUAAACAGAUCUGGGAGUCGUUUACACGGAAAUGACCCCUGAGCGAGGGGAGGGCAAGCACAGAACACAACCUGGGGGCCGUAGCUGGCCCAGCUGCCGGAAGAGCAAGCGUCAGGGGCGGACAGCCAGGACAGUCGCGACGGUCCGGCCUUCACCGGGCCCAGCAGCCCACCCCCCAGGCACUUGCCCGGAGACUAGACUCGAGGAGCGAUAGGACGAACUCCUCCCCCAACGCCAAAAACUGGGCCAAGCCAAAUGAAUUUCUGCCCAGAGGCUGCUGGGGGCGACCCCACCCCUUCCGGUGCCUCAACCAGUACGACGCUCACUAUUGGUGAAAAGGACCGGAGGAGGCGGAGCCGCCGGGGAAUUCGAACGCAGGGAGGGAUCAGCUCUGUGGAAAAGGAGUUGGGUUGGGUGGGGGGGGGCGGAGUGGUGAUAACGGCGGAGCGGAAGCCUGAGAGAUGGCGGUAGCGGCUGCUGCUACAGGUGCUACACGUAGCCACCUGAGCAAAGGCAGAAUCAGCCGACGCCCCGCUGUGGCAAGAGUACGUGUGGCUGUGAGGCUUAGGCCCUUUGUGGAAGAGACUGGCAGCACCAGUGAGAGUUCCUGUGUCCGGGGCCUGGACAGCUGCUCUUUGGAAAUUGCCAACGGGAGAAACAGUCAGGAGACGCUCAAAUACCAGUUUGAUGCCUUUUAUGGGGAAACAAGCACCCAGCAGGACAUCUAUGCUGGCUUUGUCCAGCCCAUCCUUCGCCACUUGAUGAAUGGACAGAAUGCCAGUGUGCUUGCCUAUGGUCCAACAGGCGCAGGGAAGACAUACACAAUGCUAGGCAGCCCAGAGCAGCCUGGAAUUAUCCCUCGGGCCCUCAAAGACCUCUUGCAGCUAACCUGGGAGGAGGGUGCUGAAGGGCGACCCUGGGCCAUUACUGUCUACAUGUCUUAUUUGGAAAUCUACCAAGAGAAGGUGUUGGACCUGCUUGCCCCAGCUUCAGGGGACCUAGUGAUCAGAGAAGAUCGGUGGGGGAACAUUCUGAUCCCUGGGCUCACCCAAAAACCCAUUGCUUCCUUCACUGACUUUGAGCAACACUUCCUGCCAGCCAGCAGAAACCGGACUGUGGGAGCCACUCGGCUCAACCAGCGCUCCUCUCGAAGCCAUGCUGUGCUCCUGGUCAAAGUGGAACAGCGGGAGCGAAUGGCCCCAUUCCGGCAGCGAGAGGGGAAGCUCUAUCUGAUUGACCUGGCUGGUUCAGAGGACAAUCGACGUACAGGGAACCAGGGCUUGCGGCUGAAGGAGAGUGGAGCCAUCAAUGCCUCCCUCUUUGUACUGGGCAAAGUGGUCGAUGCAUUGAACCAGGGUCUGCCUCGUGUUCCCUACAGAGACAGCAAGCUCACCCGACUGCUGCAGGACUCCCUUGGAGGAUCAGCCCACAGUGUGCUCAUUGCUAAUAUUGCUCCAGAGAGGCGCUUCUACCUCGAUACAGUCACAUCACUCAACUUCGCCUCCAGAUCCAAAGAAGUGAUUAACCGGCCAUUCACCCAUAAGAGUUUUCAACCUCUGGGUGAGAGAGUGAAGUUGGCCCAAAAGGAAUCGCUGGACCCUCCAGAAGCAAAGAGGGUCAGAAGCCAGGACGAAUUGGAGGAUGGGACAAGUAGCCCAGAACCCCCACCUAGCUGUCCCAAACGCAGCCCCCUGAAACAACUAAACACUCUAGAACCAGCUGUGCAAGAGCGCCUGCUAAACCUGGAUCGAAUUCUAGACGCCCGAGGGAGCCAAGGAACUUCAAUCUUGAGUACACCAAGAAGAGAGCGGACAGCUUUAGAAAAGGCUUUGAAAGAAAAGGACUCAGAGAUUCAGAGGCUGAAGGAAAAGUAUAAAGAGCUGGAGGCCAACAGACUGAGUCAGAGGCACAAGGAAUUGGAGGAAGAGAAUGGCUCCCUGGCCCCACCCUGUCCCUUUCCCUCCCAAACAGUACCCAACAUCAAACCCCUGAAUAGGGUUGUACCCUUUCAGCUAAUUCAGGAGCAGACAACAUCCCAAAGCAAGACCCAGGUCCUGCAGAAAGAAAACCGGAAGAGAAAGCCCGAGCCGCUCCGCGGGCAGCAGGAGGAGCAGGCUGAGGGGCUCCGCACCACCCUGGCGCUGCUGCAGGUGCCCCCAGACCUCCUGGCCGAGAGCCGCAGGAAGAUCCUGGGCUUGCUGAACACGGGCUCGGCCAAGGAGCUUCGCAGGCUGCAGCGCAUUGGGGAGAAGAAAGCCCAGCUCAUCGUGGGCUGGCGGGAGCUGCACGGCCCCUUUGCGGAGGUGGAGGACCUGGGGCUGGUGGAGGGCAUCUCCGACAAGCAGGUGGCCACCUUCCUGAAGGCCAACAUCUUGAGUUUCGCCGCCGAGUGCUUCAGCGCCUUGCCCCGGAGGGACGCCUGAGUGCCGCCGGCCGCCCAGGAGCCCCGGCAUUCUGGUCACGCCCAGAAUCCCCUGCAGGUUGGGGCUGAGCUUCAGUCCCGGUUCUUUGCAUCCCAGGGCUGCAACCAGAGUCCAUUCCAGGCUGCCCCAGCCCCCCCACCGACUCCUCAGGCCCCAUCUGCUG